CUACGGGUGGCAGCAGUGGGGAAUAUUGCACAAUGGAGGAAACUCUGAUGCAGCAACGCCGCGUGGAGGAUGACACUUUUCGGGGCGUAAACUCCUUUUAUAUAGGAAGAAGAUGACGGUACUAUAUGAAUAAGCGCCGGCUAACUCCGUGCCAGCAGCCGCGGUAAUACGGAGGGCGCAAGCGUUACUCGGAAUCACUGGGCGUAAAGAGCGUGUAGGCGGAUUAAAAAGUCAGAAGUGAAAUCCUAUAGCUUAACUAUAGAACUGCUUCUGAGACUCUUAAUCUAGAAUAUGGGAGAGGUAGAUGGAAUUUCUGGUGUAGGGGUAAAAUCCGUAGAGAUCAGAAGGAAUACCGAUUGCGAAGGCGAUCUACUAGAACAUUAUUGACGCUGAGACGCGAAAGCGUGGGGAGCAAACAGGAUUAGAUACCCCCGUAGUC
rnacentral:rRNA from 1 species